AUUGAACGCUGGCGGCAUGCCUUACACAUGCAAGUCGAACGGCAGCAUGGAGAGCUUGCUCUCUGAUGGCGAGUGGCGAACGGGUGUGUAAAGCAUCGGAACGUACCGUGUAGUGGGGGAUAACGUAGCGAAAGUUACGCUAAUACCGCAUACGCACUGAGGUGGAAAGCAGGGGAUCGUAAGACCUUGCGCUAUACGAGCGGCCGAUGUCAGAUUAGCUAGUUGGUAGGGUAAGGGCCUACCAAGGCGACGAUCUGUAGCGGGUCUGAGAGGAUGAUGCGCCACACUGGGACUGAGACACGGCCCAGACUCCUACGGGAGGCAGCAGUGGGGAAUUUUGGACAAUGGGGGCAACCCUGAUCCAGCCAUGCCGCGUGAGUGAAGAAGGCCUUCGGGUUGUAAAGCUCUUUCGGCCGGGAAGAAAUCGCACAGGCUAAUACCCUGUGUGGAUGACGGUACCGGCAUAAGAAGCACCGGCUAACUACGUGCCAGCCGCCGCCGUAA
rnacentral:rRNA from 1 species